CGCGUAGGCGGUCUCUUAAGUCUGGUGUGAAAGCCCGGGGCUCAACCCCGGAAGUGCAUCGGAUACUGGUAGUCUUGAGUAUGGGAGAGGAAAGUGGAAUUCCGAGUGUAGGAGUGAAAUCCGUAGAUAUUCGGAGGAACACCAGUGGCGAAGGCGGCUUUCUGGACCAAUACUGACGCUGAGAUGCGAAAGCGUGGGGAGCAAACAGGAUUAGAUACCCUGGUAGUCC
rnacentral:rRNA from 1 species